rnacentral:rRNA from 1 species
AGAGUUUGAUCCUGGCUCAGAUUGAACGCUGGCGGCAUGCUUUACACAUGCAAGUCGAACGGCAGCGCGGGGCAACCUGGCGGCGAGUGGCGAACGGGUGAGUAAUAUAUCGGAACGUACCCAAGAGUGGGGGAUAACGUAGCGAAAGUUACGCUAAUACCGCAUACGAUCUAAGGAUGAAAGCAGGGGACCGCAAGGCCUUGUGCUCCUGGAGCGGCCGAUAUCUGAUUAGCUAGUUGGUAGGGUAAAGGCCUACCAAGGCUACGAUCAGUAGCUGGUCUGAGAGGACGACCAGCCACACUGGAACUGAGACACGGUCCAGACUCCUACGGGAGGCAGCAGUGGGGAAUUUUGGACAAUGGGCGCAAGCCUGAUCCAGCAAUGCCGCGUGAGUGAAGAAGGCCUUCGGGUUGUAAAGCUCUUUUGUCAGGGAAGAAACGGUGGGGGCUAAUAUCCCCCACUAAUGACGGUACCUGAAGAAUAAGCACCGGCUAACUACGUGCCAGCAGCCGCGGUAAUACGUAGGGUGCAAGCGUUAAUCGGAAUUACUGGGCGUAAAGCGUGCGCAGGCGGUUUUGUAAGUCUGAUGUGAAAUCCCCGGGCUCAACCUGGGAAUUGCAUUGGAGACUGCAAGGCUAGAAUCUGGCAGAGGGGGGUAGAAUUCCACGUGUAGCAGUGAAAUGCGCAGAGAUGUGGAGGAACACCGAUGGCGAAGCAGCCCCCUGGGUCAAGAUUGACGCUCAUGCACGAAAGCGUGGGGAGCAAACAGGAUUAGAUACCCUGGUAGUCCACGCCCUAAACGAUGUCUACUAGUUGUCGGGUUUUAAUUAACUUGGUAACGCAGCUAACGCGUGAAGUAGACCGCCUGGGGAGUACGGUCGCAAGAUUAAAACUCAAAGGAAUUGACGGGGACCCGCACAAGCGGUGGAUGACGUGGAUUAAUUCGAUGCAACGCGAAAAACCUUACCUACCCUUGACAUGUACGGAAGCCACGAGAGAUCGAGGUGUGCUCGAAAGAGAACCGUAACACAGGUGCUGCAUGGCUGUCGUCAGCUCGUGUCGUGAGAUGUUGGGUUAAGUCCCGCAACGAGCGCAACCCUUGUCAUUAGUUGCUACGAAAGAGCACUCUAAUGAGACUGCCGGUGACAAACCGGAGGAAGGUGGGGAUGACGUCAAGUCCUCAUGGCCCUUAUGGGUAGGGCUUCACACGUCAUACAAUGGUACAUACAGAGGGCCGCCAACCCGCGAGGGGGAGCUAAUCCCAGAAAGUGUAUCGUAGUCCGGAUUGUAGUCUGCAACUCGACUACAUGAAGUUGGAAUCGCUAGUAAUCGCGGAUCAGCAUGUCGCGGUGAAUACGUUCCCGGGUCUUGUACACACCGCCCGUCACACCAUGGGAGCGGGUUUUACCAGAAGUAGGUAGCUUAACCGCAAGGAGGGCGCUUACCACGGUAGGAUUCGUGACUGGGGUGAAGUCGUAACAAGGUAACCGUAA